AAGGAGUAGAAACUCUUUCUUUUUCAUAAAUUUAAAUGAAUGAAAAAGAAUUUACCUUCAAAAUGAGCUUUUAGAUGGUAAAAUUAGAGGGAAUUUACUUCCAAUAUGUGCAAAAGGUUUUUUUUCCCCUGUUGCUGAUUUCAGUUUACUUCCCUCUUAUAUUAUGUUUUUACUUUCAUUCCCUUAGUUUUUCAACAAGAGUCAUUGAAAGGGAAAUUGAACAUGUCAAUUUGAAAUGGAACAUGUCAAUCAUUCCCUACAACCAGCAGGUUAGCUUAUCAUGGAUGCCUCAUAAAAAGUGUUAUUAGAGUUCUUUGCUUCAUUCAUUGCAUGCCUCAUAAUAAUUUCACUUCCUUUCUAGGAAAAAUUGAAAGAAUGAUUUUCUGUUCAUCCAUACAUUGUACAAUACAUUGAAUCAUCACUAUGUUUGAUAUCACCUAUUCACUACUUUUCUGAUUCAGUAGUUUUCCUUUCCCUUAAUUCAUUGUACAUUUCUGAAUAGAAUGUUUUCUUAUUUUCUUUUUAUUGUUGCAGAUGUUAGAGGGAUAGUGAAAAAUAAAGUUCCACUUGUGCAUUCAUUGACCUUAAUAAGUAUAUGAAAUUUUAGUAGAUGAACUCUUCUACCAAGAUGGAUUACAUGGAGCAAUUUUUCAAGGACCAAGUGGCCGUCAUUCAUAAAACUUUGGAAGCAGAAGAAAGUGCUUUUGAGAAAUUACUUCAGGGAGAACGUGACAAGGCAAAGCUCUCCAACAAUGAUUCUAGAAGCAAAGAGGAGAAGAAACUUAGGCAUUGAAUUUAAUUGACAUCUCUGAAAUGAAUUGUUUAUCUCGUUGAUGCAUAAGUUAGAUUCCUUUGCUAUAAUAUCUAGGUUUUACACUCUUUAGAGCUCAUGGCUACUGAAUUUUUUUUGUUUGGGUUGCUCAACUGAUCAGCCAAAAGAAAAAGAAAAAAAAAGCAUGCACACGCACACAGAAAAAAAUGGCUUUUUCUAAUAGUAACUGUUUUAGGAUUUGAUAUUCAUAAUACAACCCCAUCUUGGUUUUCGUUGUUUUAAAUCACCCAAACUCAAACAAAAGUCCCACUCAUCUUUUGGGCCUCUAGCGAGGGUGAAGAAGAAGAUAAGGAGACCAGAGAGUGCAAGUAUCUCUUUAAAAAUUUGAAGUUCUUCUUGAGUUGUGAGGUAUGCUUGUCUAUCUUUUGUGCGUAAUUACUUGUAUAAUGAUUUUCUUUUGAUGAGGUAUAAUUUUUGGCACAACCUGCCAAUGGCUCUUAUAUGAGCAUUUGAACUGUUAUCUUUAUUUGAAAAAUGUUUAUGAACAUAGGGGCAUGUUCACUAUCUUUUUUUUCUUCUUCUUUUCCAUGUCAUAAGAUUUUGAUGUUCGAGAGUUUGCUAUAUCAGUUGCUGGCAGAUUGUCUGAAAAGAAUCCAGCAUAUGUUUUGCUUGCACUUUGUCGCCAUCUCAUACAAUUUUUUAUGCAUCUUGAGCAAAGGUAAUCUGAAACAUAUCUACUUGCCAAUAAUAUUAUUCAUUUAUGGGGAAAUAGAUGCACUUUUUUUCAUAUUCAGAGUUGGUAGUGGUGUCAUACAAAGGUUUUGGGAAGAUUUAUGGUGUGAGGAGUGCUUGCUGAGAGUUUUGGAGAUCUUUAUGUUGGUUAAUCACAGAAAGGAGGCAUUGGUGAGGCAGUUGUUUCAGCAUGUUGGCAAUAUUAUUGUGUGGAAUGUCACCUUUAGAAGGAAUCUGAAAGACGAUGAAAUCUUUUGUAUACUCGCCUUUUCUCCUAUUUUCAAUCUGUUUAAAUUCCACUUACAAGUUCUGGCUGCAGAAUUUUUACUCUCAGCUCCCAAGGCUGAGUUACUUUACAAAAUCUCUUGUUGUAGCUCUUGGUAGGGGGUUCGACGGAAGGAAUUUGUAUUCUCAAGGAUUUGGAAGGGUGUGCUUCCUUUAAAGGUGAAGGCUUUAGCCUAGUUAGCUGUUGAAGGAAAAUUCUGACCAUGGAUAACUUUCAGAGGU